rnacentral:rRNA from 1 species
AAUUGGAGGGCAAGUCUGGUGCCAGCAGCCGCGGUAAUUCCAGCUCCAAUAGCGUAUAUUAAAGUUGUUGCAGUUAAAAAGCUCGUAGUUGAAUUUCGGGAUUGACACAUCGGUCGUGCCUUAAGGGGUAUGAACUGGUGUAGUCAAUUUCUCACCCUCUGGAGAACCGCGAUGCCCUUAAUUGGGUGUCACGGGGAACCAGGACCUUUACUUUGAAAAAAUUAGAGUGUUUAAAGCAGGCAUUUUGCUUGAAUACAUUAGCAUGGAAUAAUAAAAUAGGACGGCAUGAUUCUAUUUUGUUGGUUUCUAGGAUCACCGUAAUGAUUAAUAGGGAUAGUUGGGGGCAUUAGUAUUCAAUUGUCAGAGGUGAAAUUCUUGGAUUUAUUGAAGACUAACUACUGCGAAAGCAUUUGCCAAGGAUGUUUUCAUUAAUCAAGAACGAAAGUUAGGGGAUCGAAGACGAUCAGAUACCGUCGUAGUCUUAACCAUAAACUAUGCCGACUAGGAAUCAGACGAUGUUAAUUUUUUAAUGACUCGUUUGGCACCUUACGGGAAACCAAAGUGU